rnacentral:lncRNA from 1 species
ACCUCGGGCAUGGAUGGAGGAGAAGAUGGAGAGUGAUGCAACGAGCCCAUGGAAAUCCGGUGAAUAAGUGAUUUGGAUUUAUUUUUAUGGAAUGUUUUCCAAUGUUAUUUCUUUAAAGUUUUGAAUAACGCAGAAUGCGAGAACAAGUUAUGUUUUCUUCAAAUGAAUUAUAUUUUGUUGUUUUGAAAAAUGAUUCAGUGUUUUUGUUUAAAGUAUUUG